rnacentral:rRNA from 1 species
UACGAAGGGUGCAAGCGUUACUCGGAAUUACUGGGCGUAAAGCGUGCGUAGGUGGUUCGUUAAGUCUGAUGUGAAAGCCCUGGGCUCAACCUGGGAAUGGCAUUGGAAACUGGCGACCUAGAGUGCGGUAGAGGGUAGUGGAAUUCCCGGUGUAGCAGUGAAAUGCGUAGAGAUCGGGAGGAACAUCCGUGGCGAAGGCGACUACCUGGCCUGUUCUUGACGCUGAGGCGCGAAAGCUAGGGGAGCAAACGGG